UUGACUUGGCCUCUCCAAAGCUGAGUAAAGUGCUCUGAAAGGCUGCUACUGGGGAUCUGUGUCCUAGAGAAAGCCACCUUCCUGCACAAGGCAAAAUAAAAUAAUCUAUGUUUGCUAUUAAAACCUCACUGCCCCUGACGUCAGAGAAGGAAACGGACUAAAGGAGCUGGCAAUUGAUUAAAAAUAGUCUUCAUGUGAGGAAAACAAAUACGCAUUCGGCAAAAUUAAAGACUCUGAGCCCCAGAAUGCUUGUGGCUAGCUAUAUUUAGGCCUGGAGUUUAGGACUCUUUGGGUACUGGCUGGAAAAAGCCUUGGGUCAAGGAAGAACUCUAUGAAUAGUCUGUGCUUAUGGAACUCUGGGACACUUGUGGACAUUGAGAGGAAGUUGGAGGCAUCUUCUUACAUGGAAAAUAAAUGCUUUUACUGAGUAGUUCAGUUUCCACAGGUAUUCACUGAAUGUCUCCUGAACGCCAGCAGCAGCCUGCCUUAAGAUGGGAAGCAAAGACACUAGCUAUUUCUGCACUCUCAUAUGGCUAUCUAAUGGCAGUGACCAGAAGAGAUGGGCUAAAGUCUCAGGGGGUUGAAUGGCAAGACAAGGCACACUGGGACUGAAAAUCCCAGGCAAGCCAGUUACUUCAUUCAAUUCCCUCACAUCUCCUUCCAUUCCAUUCUGUUCUACUCCAACUCAUCCAAUUUUCUAACAUUCACUGAGUAUUUUGUCAGAUAAAUAAGAAGAUAUGGCCCUGACAUCCAGGAACUCAUAAUCUAGUGAAGGAGAUUCAGAGUGUGGAUUAAGGACUACAGGUAUAAACAAAGUGCUAUAGGAGCAGAGAAUAAUUCAUUUUUUAUUAUAUCCUGGCUCUGUUACUUAUAAAUUGUGUGGCCUUGGGCGAGUCUUUGAACCACUCUGUGCUUCAUUUUCCUCAUCUAAAAAAUGGGACUCAUGCCUGGCCAGCAUGGCUCAGUGGUUGAGCAUUGACCUAUGAACCAGAAGGUCAUGGUUCUAUUCCCAGUCAAGACACAUGCCCAGAUAGCGGGCUCAAUCCCCAGGGUGGGGCAUGCUUAUCAAUGAUUCUCUCUCAUAAUUGAUGUUUCUAUCUUUCUUUCCCUCUCUCUUCCUUUCUGAAAUAAUAAAAAUAUAUUUAAAAAGUAAAAUAAAUUACAUUUUAAAAAUGGGACUCACAAUGUUACCUAUAAUGCAUGGCUACUAUGAGGAUUAAAUGUGAUAAGGUACAGGUAUACUUCGGAGAUAUUGUGGGUUCGGUUCCAGACAACUACAAUAAAGCUGCAUCGCAGUAAAGCGAGUUGUAAUCUAUAUGUUGGUGGAGGUUCUUGUCUUCAAUUUGUAAAACACGCAACAUCUGUGAAGCAUAAUAAAGCAAAGUGCCAUAAAAUGAGAUAUGCCUGUGUGUAGUGUGACUUGCAUAAAGGAGGCUGCUAAAUACAUGGCAGGUCUAAGAUUUCACAGAGGAGGAGGCAUUUUGACAUGAGCUCAAAUGAUAGGUAGAUUCACUAGGCAGGAAAGUAAUUAUCUUAUGAAUCCUGGCUGGAAGAAUUCACUCACCUGGAUGACAGGUUGAUGACCUCAGCAGUGUCACUAAA